UUUUCAUCUUCUUCUCUCCUCUUCCUAUCCUCUCUCUCUGUCUCUCUCCGCUCCUCGAUUUCUCUCAUCUGUCUCUGCGUCGCACGCAAGACGCCAUCGUUUUGCUGGGAUAACCUAGUCAAUUACCCAACCCAGCAACCUUAGCUCCACACAACGGCUAAACGCGAACCCAUCUCUCCCAUCACCCUCGAGCUCCUCCUUCCUCUCUCCGUCAUCGAUCUCACUCCCUCACCUCCGUCCAUCUCCCACCGCCGUCGCCGAAACGAGCUUCGAAGCCACCGUCAUUAUCGUGCAGCUUUGUUCCACCAUCAUGCAGCUACUGUUUCAGCUUUGAAAGCACCAUCACGCAGCUCGAUUCCAUCGUCGCCGGGCUCGCCUCCUUUUUCCGUCGAGCAGCUCUGUUCCAUCAUCGCCGACGCUAUCUCUGUUCCACCUGUCAUUCCUUCGAUCGUGCCCUUGUCCCCCUCUUGCUCAGGAUCUGCUCUGCUCUGUUCUAGGGCUUCUAGCUUUUAGGCUGUGUUUGAUGAGGAUGAGGAAGAUAAAUACAAGGAAAGGAAUCCGAGAAAUAGUUUGAAGAGAAAAGAGAGUAGUGGUGGAGGAAACUCAACCUUGGAAGAAUUGAUAAGGGAAGAGGAGAAGAAAAAGGAGAAAAUCAACAGGAGGCUAUUGAUUGCGUGAGGAAAUCAUUGUUAAGGUUAUGAGCAAGGCCUUGGCAGAGAAGGGGUAUGGAGUAUUUCUUUAACAAUGGAGUAAUAUGGAGAGAUAUGGAGAGAUAAAAGACGUAUUUUUGGAUGGUACGCCUUGCUGGCAACCUGGCAUGUGACCUGGAGGUCACAGGAGUUGCGGAAUUAGCCUUUUGAACAAACAAGGUGGGGCUGGCAUCUGGGUCAAAAGUUUCCCUGUACCCUGUGCAUGAUGGCUAACGGGGACUUCAUAUCUCCAGGCGAACAAUCUCUCAGUCAUGCCCAUUUUGCCGAGACAGUCUGAAGAGGGUAAACUCUGGCGAUCUCUGGGUUUUCACCGACAGGAGAGACAUAGUAGAUAUGGCAACAGUAACAAGGGAGAAUCUUAGAAGGCUUU